rnacentral:rRNA from 1 species
CUAGGUAAUCUUGUGAGUAUGCAUCGUGAUGGGGAUAGAUUAUUGCAAUUAUUAAUCUUCAACGAGGAAUGCCUAGUAGGCGCAAGUCAGUCAGCUUGCGCCGAUUACGUCCCUGCCCUUUGUACACACCGCCCGUCGCUCCUACCGAUUGAGUGUUCCGGUGAAUUAUUCGGACCGUUUUGUGGCGCGUUCGUGCCCGAAAUGGGAAGUUUUGUGAACCUUAACACUUAGAGGAAGGAGAAGUCGUAACAAGGU